rnacentral:rRNA from 1 species
UCUGGUGGCGAUGGCAAAGAGGUCACACCCGUUCCCAUACCGAACACGGAAGUUAAGCUCUUUAGCGCCGAUGGUAGUUGGGACUUUGUCCCUGUGAGAGUAGGACAUCGCUAGGC